UAUGGCUCAUAGAUUACUACAACAAUGGUUGCAGGUAUAGGUAAAGCGAUGCCCUGACGUGAGAGCGAAGCUUGUUUGAUUUGGAUUUCUUCAUCUUCAUCAUCAAUUAUAGGAUGGGUAUCAGGCCAGCAACCUGGGAUUAGCAACGAUGGAAGUCGCUUUUAUCAUUUCAUUUCAUCCAUAGUCGGACACUACUCUUCUAUAUAGUGAUUUAAUUGUUCUUGUAUUGAGAUGUUCAUGUUUUAGCUUUUGGCGAGGGUAAGCCAAUUCCAUAUACUCAUCUCCUCUUUACAUGUACUUGUAAUUAUAUCCAUUCUUGUGAAAUGACGAGAUGCGCUUCUAUCCCUAUCGAGGCCCUCAAGCCAAAAUAAGGAUAGGACCGCAUCUUGG
rnacentral:lncRNA from 1 species